rnacentral:SRP_RNA from 2 species
GCUGGGCGUGGUGGCGCGUGCCUGUAAUCCCAGCUACUCAGGAGGCUGAGGCAGGAGAAUCGCUUGAACCCGGGAGGCGGAGGUUGCAGUGAGCUGAGAUCGCGCCACUGCACUCCAGCCUGGGCAACAGAGCAAGACUCAGUCUCAA